rnacentral:pre_miRNA from 1 species
CUCUUUGGUUAUCUAGCUGUAUGAGUGAUUUUAAAAGCGUCAUAAAGCUAGCUUACCGAAGUU